AUGGGGCUGCUUCCCGCCAACGCGGGCUCGCUGUGCUGGCGGAGAUUUCCGGAUCCAGCCGAUCUUGAGGAGGUGGAGCCUAGUUCGGGAAGCUCCGCCUCUCGUCUUAAGAGACCAGAGAGCCUGUUGUCUGACUAUUACCCCUUACGUUUCUGUAGACAAGCCUUGUGUGUACUCCUAGCCGUGGCUCAGCUCCAGACACGCUUCUUCACUGACAACAAGAAAUAUGCAGGAGAUGAUGUUCCCUUCUCAAUUCCUGCAGCCUCUGAAAUUGCUGACCUUAGUGACAUCAUCAAUAAAUUGCUGGAGGCCAAAAAUGCGUUCCACAAACAUGUGGAGUUCGACUUCCUUAUCAAGGGCCAGUUUCUGCGAAUGCCCUUGCUCAAACACAUGGAACUGGAAAACAUCUCAUCAGAAGAGGUUGUGGAAUUGGAAUAUGUGGAGAAGUAGCCUGCCCCUCAGCCAAAGCGAUGCAUGUUCCAUGAUGACUGGAUCAGUUCUGUCCGAGGGGCAGAGGAAUGGAUCUUGACUGGUUCUUAUGAUAAGACUUCUCGGAGAUAUCUGGUCCUUGGAAGGAAAGUCAAUAAUGACAGUUGUGGGACAUACAGACGUUGUAAAAGAUGUGGCCUGGGUGAAAAAAGAUAGUUUGUCUUGCCUACUACUGAGUGCUUCUGUGGAUCAGACGAUUCUCUUGUGGGAGUGGAAUGUGGAGAGAAACAAAGUGAAAGCCCUGCACUGCUGCAGAGGCCAUGACAGAAGUGCAGAUUCUAUAGCUGUUGACAGCACGGGAACUAAGUUUUGCAGUGGCUCCUGGGAUAAGAUGCUAAAGAUCUGGUCUACAGUUCCUACAGAUGAAGAAGAUGAAAUGGAGGAAUCCACAAAUCGACCAAGAAAGAAACAGAAAACAGAGCAGUUGGGACUAACAAGGACUCCCAUAGUGACCCUCUCUGGCCACAAGGAAGCAGUUUCUUCGGUUCUAUGGUCAGAUGCUGAAGAAAUCUGCAGUGUAUCUUGGGACCACACAAUUAGGGUGUGGGAUGUAGAGUCUGGCAGUCUUAAGUCAACUUUGACAGGAAAUAAGGUGUUUAAUUGUAUCUCCUAUUCUCCACUUUGUAAACGUUUAGCAUCUGGAAGCACAGAUAGGCAUAUCAGACUGUGGGAUCCCCAAACUAAAGAUGGUUCUUUGGUGUCGCUGUCCCUAACCUCACAUACAGGCUGGGUCACAUCAUUAAAGUGGUCUCCUACCCAUGAGCAGCAACUGAUUUCAGGUUCUUUAGAUAAUAUCGUCAAACUGUGGGAUACAAGAAGUUGUAAAGCUCCUCUCUAUGAUCUGGCUGCUCAUGAAGACAAAGUUCUGAGUGUAGACUGGACAGACACUGGGUUACUUCUGAGUGGAGGAGCAGACAAUAAAUUGUAUUCCUACAGAUAUUCACCUACUACUUCUCAUGUGGGGGCAUGAAAGUGAAUGAUAAAUUUGACUGCAGAGAUUGUUUCUGUAAAUGAAAUUGAUAAAGAAGCCUCAGAUUACAUCAGUGACGUUUCAGAAAGCAGCCUCUUUAAGUUUAUAUGAUGCUUUCACCCUUGAUAAUAGCUAUCACUGUCUAUUUCUUUAUUUUAUAUUUAUUAUACAAUAGUUUAUGUUGUUAAAAUUUAAAUGUGACCUGCUCUCUCUGCCAUAUGCAAACUCUUGAAAGUAAACUGAGUUUUUUUAUUUCCUUUUAUAGGUAUUGGUUUGAAUUAAGAUUUGCUUUUGAAAUGCUGUAAAAGCAUAUAUUAAAAAUAUAGUAAUUAU